UGAUGCUGUUUGAAACCUAUAUUCAAUUAAGAGAUUUAAGCCUCCAUUUUUAUGUAGGAAGAGGCAGAAUCAUGUCACGAUGCAGUCUGCGAUUGGACAACAGCCUGCCAAUCAGCAGCUCCUCCUUCAGUGUGGGAGCAUCCAGCAGGAGCAGGUCUCUGCGUCUCCGUCGCUCCUCCCUCUCUGAGUCCCUCCUCCGUCCUCCUGCUGGCAGGUCGUCUCUCCUGAGCAGCAGCAGUGAUGUGUCUGAUGCGUCUCUGCUCUCGUCCCUCCUGGAUGAAUCCUCCUUUCAGGAAUCCACGCUGCUCCAGUCCUUCUGGGGUUUGGAUCAUGACGUCGAUGCUAACGGGGGCGCCAUCGUGUCCCAGCAGACUGCUGCCCACGUCACAGCAGACGUACGGCCACCCUGUAGGAGCUACUGCGACUCUUCUUCUGAGGAAACGGAAACCUGCACCAUUUACACCAGGGGGCGGAGCCGACGCAGCCGCACAGGCAAGCCCCGCCCACUGAAAUCAUCAUCAGCAGAGCACUGGAUGGGGAACUGGAGCAGAGUGUUCUGGUCUCUAAUUGGCUGCUGUUUUUCCAGAUGUCGUACUAUCGGGGGUGCAGAGAUCCAGUAGAGCCGCCGCCCACUUUCUGUCACUACCUGUACUCACCUGUUGGGCGUGGCUGAGGUCAAAGGUCACAGACGGAGGAGGAGGUAGUGUUUGUGUGCGUGUGUGUGUCUCUCUGCACCUGAUGGGCACGCCCAUCACCUUCCUUUGGCUGUUUCCGUGGCAACAUGCAAACUCCUCCGUCUCCUGUUCAUCACCCUGACUCAGCGGUGGUGUGUUCAGGUGCUUCCAGGUGAGUUGUUCCUUUGUCCGCUCUGUUUCAGCUUCCUGUGACCUCGACGCCACAAUGACCCCAGAGGACGAGGGACACGCACACGACUCUCUGUGUGAGUAGCACACAAAGACACACACUCACUCUCAGGGCAAAUCAACACUCGUGCUUACGUGUGUGUGUGUGUGUGUGUGGGUGCGUUUACAACGUCUAAUAAUUUUUACAAAGUUUGACUUCAAGUAACAUUUGAGUUUCUUGAGGCUGAAGAUUUAAAUAUUUUCACUGUUUCCCUAAACUGAAGUAAGUGUGUGUGUGUGUGUGUGUGUGUGUGUGUGUGUGUGUGUGUGUGUGUGUGUGUGUGUGUGUGUGUGUGUGUGUGUGUGUGUGUGUGUGUGUGUGUGUGUGUGUGUGUGUGUGUGUGUGUGUGUGUGUGUGUGUGUGUGUGUGUGUGUGUGUGUGUGUGUGUGUGUGUGUGUGUGUGUGUGUGUGUGUGUGUGUGUGUGUGUGCGCUAAAUGUUCGUUGAUUAUUUGAUGACGCCCGCAGGUGACGACUGUCAGGAGAAGCAGCGCCUGGAGGUUGUGGGCUCUUCUGUGGUUUCCAGACUGUUGGAGCUGACGUGCAGCGCUGCCUUGCUCACAGGUUAAAUCCCCAAUACUAGUGCCCUCUAGUGGCUCAGAUGAUUUUAUUUUACCACACUUCACUAAAGGGAUCCUCCACUGUUUAUACAAAUGUGGCCUAAAAACAAGUAGAUCUAUGCCUAACAAAAAUACAUAAUUUUGCAUCAUAUUCUUUUAAUUAACUUUUAAAAUGGGAUCUCACAGUUUUAGAGCCUUUUCCUCCAACUUGAAAUCAUGUGAUUGAUGUCACAUGGCCCCAUUUUCCUGUAAAUAUUGCAUUGUUUUCUAUUGGAGUGAAGCAUUCAGCCUGCUUUUUAGAUCAUAAUAAUGUGUUUUGUUACACAUAAAUCUACUAAUAAGGACAUUUAGAAGAUUUUAGGCCAAAUUUGUAAAAACAGUGAAGGAUCCCAUUAACUCACAUUAACAUAUAUAGCUUAAUGUAAAUCUUUGUCAGACAUCUAUAAAUCAUUAACACACACCCUGUGGUCAGUAGGUCAGUAGUCCUCUUUGCUGUCUGUCCUCCCUCCAGGCCAGGUACUCUCUGGGACUGGGACACUGUUGUCCUGGCUGUGGCCUGUGGUUUGCAGGUUCUCAUGCUACGUGUGGAGCGUUGGAUGUGCUGCAGGUUAAGCUCCGCCCUGAGCCGAUCCGACUCUGCUCUCCUGCUUCUGACCUUUGACCCCGAAUUUUCUCCUCUUUAAGAGAACACUUUGCUGCUUCUGGGCUGCUGCUACUAGAUGUAGAACUGGUUCCAGUUAGUGAGAACCAGUUUGGUUGAUCUUCUGGACACACCUUACAAGGACCAAAAAAAAUUACUGCUUUGACAUCAUUUUAUUAGUUAUUGAACAUAAAGGUUAAUUGUUAUUACAGAGAAAAUGGCUUUGUUCAAAAUAGCAUACUAACUUACUAUACACUACACACAAUGAGUAUAUACUCUCUACUAUAUACUAUAAGUAUGAUUAGGAUGAUGAAACUUUCAAGUUUCCAAAUAUGCAUUUGCAACCUACAAGGACAAAAACCUGAAGCACACUAAGGCUAAAUAUCUCUGUUGAUUCUUCACCUUUGAAAGUUCUGAGUUUUAAGUGAGAAACUGACCAAGUAGAAAAUCAACAUUUGCUCAUUUGAUCCAUGAAACUCACGUAAUCUUCAAUACACAGUGAAACACCCACAGAAACCAGUUUUUCUUCUCCUGGUUCAAUCCUGAUCCCAACAUCUCAAACAUACAUUCAUUCUUGCACACAUUAAACCAGCACAGUGCUUCAAAAAUAAAUAAUGUAAUUAUUAAUUAUUCA
rnacentral:lncRNA from 1 species